rnacentral:pre_miRNA from 1 species
AAUGUAUGACGCCGUUGACUUUUUAUCCAACGUUUGACCAUUCGUUUUAUUAAAAACUUUAUGUAAUUAUCAUUUAUUUUAUUGUGACUUGAUUAAUCAUCAAAUGUUCUUUAAGUAUGAUAUAAAUAUUUUCGUAUUAAAUUUUAAAUAAAACGAAUAGUCAAACGUUGGUUAAGAAGUCAACGGCGUCAUCCAUU